UCUUAGAGGUUACUCAUGUGUUUACCUCAACGACCAACAUCUCAUUUUCUUAAUGUAACUUUUUAAUAGGUUCAACACUUCUAUCCAAACACGUAACUAGAUAGUUCUCUAUAUAAUCAGCUUCGGCACUUAAAAUUGUUUUUCUGUGCUUGAUGCUUAUCAGUCAUUUAUAGUCCGGUAAGCUAAACGGGCUCUUAGUUCCUUUUGAUUUUCAAACUGCUGAAAUUUUGCAAUUGCUUAUGCAGCUGGUAUCUGUGGCUUUUUGUGGUCUUGUUCCUAUUGCUUAAUGUUCACGGCUGGCACGCAUACUUUUGGAUAGCAUUCAUUCCCUUUGGUGUAAGUGAUCAGUACUAUUAAAGACUACUAAUUUUUGUCAAUGCACCUUUGAGCUACUUGCAUUAUUCUUGUCCAAACUUAUUGAUUCUCAAGUUAUUUAUGUUAAAUCAAACUGGAUUCAUCUUUUUAAAUUCCUUUCUCACUUUACAGUCUGUUCAA